UUGACGAGAGGGAGCGGCAUAAAAGUCAGCGGACCCAGGAGACCUUCGCCAGAACGUCUGGCACCACUCCCUCGUUCCUUGCUCGCCUUCUUUGUGCUCUUCCUCGUUCCCGUGUUUGAUGUCCUUUGUGUCUUCCAAAGUGUCUUCCCUGUUGCCUGUGAUCGUAUCCUGCCUCACGACCUCCACCUGGAUCUCUGCUUGCCUCCCUCGACCCUUGACCUCUGCUUGGACUCGGACAUUGUUGCAUCUCCCCAGCCCCCGACUGCCUGCCUCCCUACUGACCGCCUCUUCGCCUUGCCCCUUGGAUUCGGCGAAAGAUUCACACAACACGCACCGACAACAACCCCUGGUAAAACUGUUUGUCAGAGUUCCUCCUCUGGCUGCUCGUCUGGACACGCACGCAGACAAUUGUGCAUCACAGCACCUGAACUUGACGAGAGGGAGCGGCAUAAAAGUCAGCGGACCCAGGAGGCCUUCGCCAGAACGUAGCCUAUCUUUCACAUGUCUUCCCUGUUGCCUGUGAUCGUAUCCUGCCUCACGACCUCCACCUGGAUCUCUGCUUGCCUCCCUCGACCCUUGACCUCUGCUUGGACUCCAGCCCUCGACUGCCUGCCCCCCUACUGACUGCCUCUUCGCCUUGCCCCUUGGAUUCGGCGAAAGAUUCACACAACACGCACCGACAACAACCCCUGAUAAAACUUACAUUGUUAAUUCUACACAUCGUCCUCACUCAUUCACUUGUGGUAGCAUACACACCCCACACACCCAUCAAGGUUUCAAUAAACCUGAUAAACCGCA